GGGAGACCCGGGCUGGACGGUUGGGAAGGAAGGUCGUGGACAACAAAGUAAUGAACAAAAAUAUGUUUCACGCAUGAGAAGCUGUCCGAGAUGGCAGUGAGGGAGAGGUCAUGGCAAACGGUGUUUAUGGCAUGGAAAAGUGAAGAUUCAAAAAAAAACCCAAGGAGAGGCCAAGAUAGUGUGGAAAAUAUCCACCCCCUCCCAGAGACAGCUCAUUAGGAAGGUUUUGGAGGGAGACUCGCAGGAGGUCAGGGGCUGCUGUGUUAUCUUUGGAGGAAAGGCCAUCCCUUCUCUUCCCCUCCGCAGACGUAUCCAGUGAGACAACUCUCUCCCCAGCAAGCUUUUCUCAGGGAGCAGGCAGUUUCUUGAAAAAAUGAACCAGAUGAGGAUCCACCCACCUCCAGAAACAAAGACUGUGGCUGUCUCCAAGAAUGAAGCACCAGUCUCUUAGUUGGUAUCCCCAGGAGACCAAGUGAGUAGGUAUUACAAAUAUAAUCAGGGAAAAGAAGCUAUUUUAAAAAAUCGGUCAUUGGGCAGGAUGUUCCAAAGGGCAGAUGAAUGUAACUUCCAAGAUGAAGUAACCGGAUGUCUGUCAACUCAGAAAACAAGCUUAAAUGCCUUCUCUUCCAUGAAGACUUCCUUGAUCACUCCUGUCUUUACAGAUGAACGGCUAACUGGAAUACCAACAGAAUAAACAGACUUUAGUCCUGCCAUCUGCCCUGGCCCAUGCAGCCUGGCAUUGUUUAGGGGAUCAUACCUGGCUUCCCACCCAGGCCACAUGACUCUAGAGGGCAAGACUUAGUAAGGUCACGUAGUAGGAGCUCAAUAUAAUUUAUUGGUUAGACAAGAGGAAACCACUUCUUCUCUUGACAAGCCAUCAUUCUCAGGGCCUUCUGCCAAGGGCCCGCUUUGAUCUCCCUUAAAGGACAGCAUUAUCUGACCAGAGGUAAAUUGUAACCACUGAAAGUCCGCUGUUUCGAUUCUGGGCAAGAUGCUAUGGCAGAACAGGGACCAUGAUGAACUACUUAGAAAAAUACAUAAGGCCAUACCCAUGCAGGAGACCUCUCCAGGUACACAUAUUUCCUGCUACUGAAUGGCUUAGACUGGGAUUUGCAAGGAACUACGAAGUCCAAGACCUUUGCCUUUCUUUUAGAAGAAGGCACCAGCUGGUUCUCCAAUGUUGAAGGUCUUCUCCAGAGAUGUACUCAAAAUUGGAUGGAUGGAUCUAUAUAUUCCUGGGCCACAGGGGCAUGCAGAAGGAGUGAAAAAACAAGAAGGAAGACAAGGAAGACAUUGUUUUGGCUGCUGACAUUUCCUGAAAGAUCUGAGGCGUCCCCUUCACUUCGGGCAUGGGACCCAGACGGCUGAGUGAUGGACCUUAAGGUGUGGGGAGAUUACAACUUGCUCAAGGUCUCAUAGCUAGAAGAUGUCAGAGUGAUAACUCAAACCAUGUCACAUGACUCUAAGCCCAAAGCAGCCUCUAGAAGGUUGUUUGAUCUUCUGAUGGAAGCACAAAUCACCAUUCCAACAUGAAAGAUGGAGAAACUUAAGUCUAGAGAGAUUUAAAGGACUUGUCAAAGGCAAUGAAACAAGUGGAACUCUGAAAGCCACAUGUUGAGAUGGCCCCAUUACAGGAUGGAGAGCACCUGAACCCCCAAGUUAUGGACUAGAAGAAGACAGUUGCCCUGGAAAAUCAUCUGACCCACAUUGGACUUUAUGUGAGGGGGAAAUAAACCUUUAUUAUGUUAAGC
ensembl:lncRNA LINC00511 long intergenic non-protein coding RNA 511